rnacentral:rRNA from 1 species
AGCUCCAAUAGCGUAUAUUAAAGUUGUUGCAGUUAAAAAGCUCGUAGUUGGAUUUCUGCUUGGAGCGACCGGUCCGUCUCUCACGAGACGCGUACUUUGGCCGCCUCUAGGCAUUCUUGUGGAGAGUGCGUCUGUCAUUAAGUUGUCGGGCGUAGGAUCCACAUCGUUUACUGUGAAAAAAUUAGAGUGUUUAAAGCAGGCAUUUGCUGUGAAUACAUUAGCAUGGAAUAAUAAGAUAGGACUUUGGUGCUAUUUUGUUGGUUUGCACACCAAGGUAAUGAUUAACAGGGACAGUUGGGGGUAUUCGUAUUUAAUUGUCAGAGGUGAAAUUCUUGGAUUUAUGAAAGACGAACUACUGCGAAAGCAUUUACCAAGGAUGUUUUCAUUAAUCAAGAACGAA